CACCCUUUAGAAGAGGACGUACUGAUUAGAAAGGAGCUGGGAAGAAUACAGCUGCCUGAAAGCUGACAAGCCCUAGAGAUGGUCUCCCUUUAUUUCUCUUCCAUAGCUGCUGGUUUUCCCGAGGAUGACUCUGGCUGCCCUGACAGCCCCACCACAGGGGACAGCAGCAUUUAUUUGACUUGACUAGGAUUGGAACUUCCAGUGAUCUACAAUCUCCAUAUGAUCUCUGUUUCUACAAGGAAGCACCUUCUCCAUGAAUAUUAUGCACUUAGUUAAACUGAGCCAUGGAAAGCCAAUCAUUCAUUCAACAAAUAUGUACAGAGUGUCAAUAAUGUACCAGGCAAGAAACAAGGAGCUGCGCUCUUUCUUCAAGGAAUCCAUAGUUCUAUCAGUAGAAGGAAUAAAAUAUUCUAAGUGUC
rnacentral:lncRNA from 1 species